rnacentral:misc_RNA from 1 species
AACGGUCUAUACCUGCGGUACCUGCGGAAGGAUCAUUAAAGAGAAAACUGCCCUUUGGGUAGAUUUCCCACCCUUUGUUUACUUUACCUUUGUUGCUUUGGCAGGCCCGUCUUCUGACCACCGGCUUCUAGCUGGUCCGUGCCUGCCAGAGGACCCCCAACUCUUGAUUUUAAGUUGUCCGAGUCUUAUAUAAUAGUAAAAACUUUCAACAACGGAUCUCU